rnacentral:rRNA from 1 species
AUUGAACGCUGGCGGCAUGCCUUACACAUGCAAGUCGAACGGUAACAGGUCUUCGGAUGCUGACGAGUGGCGAACGGGUGAGUAAUACAUCGGAACGUGCCCGAUCGUGGGGGAUAACGGAGCGAAAGCUUUGCUAAUACCGCAUACGAUCUACGGAUGAAAGCAGGGGACCGCAAGGCCUUGCGCGGACGGAGCGGCCGAUGGCAGAUUAGGUAGUUGGUGGGAUAAAAGCUUACCAAGCCGACGAUCUGUAGCUGGUCUGAGAGGACGACCAGCCACACUGGGACUGAGACACGGCCCAGACUCCUACGGGAGGCAGCAGUGGGGAAUUUUGGACAAUGGGCGAAAGCCUGAUCCAGCCAUGCCGCGUGCAGGAUGAAGGCCUUCGGGUUGUAAACUGCUUUUGUACGGACGAAAGACUCCUUCUAAUAAAGGGGUUCAUGACGGUACCGUAAGAAUAAGCACCGGCUAACUACGUAGCCAGCAGCCGCGGUAAACGU